UUGUAGGUGAUGGAAUGGUAGACAUACUUGACUGUGAAUCAAGGAACUGCGGGUUCGAGUCCCGUCCUUCAACCCA
rnacentral:tRNA from 1 species